rnacentral:rRNA from 1 species
UACGUAGGAGACGAGCGUUGUCCGGAAUUACUGGGCGUAAAGCGCGUGUAGGCGGAUGCGCAAGUCUGCUGUGAAAGCUCCUGGCUUAACCGGGAGUGGUCGGUGGAAACUGCGCGUCUGGAGGACGGUAGAGGUAGGUAGAAUUCCCGGUGUAGUGGUGAAAUGCGUAGAGAAUCGGGAGGAAUACCUGUGGCGAAGGCG